rnacentral:rRNA from 1 species
GUCGAACGAUGAACCCGGAGCUUGCUCUGGUGAAUUAGUGGCGAACGGGUGAGUAACACGUGAGUAACCUGCCCUUGACUCUGGGAUACCUGCGGGAAACUGUAGAUAAUACCGAAUCAGACCCUCGGAGGCAUCUCCUGGGGGUGGGAAGAAUUUAGGUCAAGGAUAGACUCGCGGCCUAUCAGCUAGUGGGUUAGGUAAAGACUCACCAAGGCGACGAUCAGUAGCUGGUCUGAGAGGAUGAUCAGCCACAUUGGGACUGGGACACGGCCCAAACUCCUACGGGAGGCAGCAGUGGGGAAUAUUGGACAAUGGGCGCAAGCCUGAUCCAGCCAUGCCGCGUGAGUGAUGAAGGCCUUAGGGUUGUAAAGCUCUUUCGUCCGGGACGAUAAUGACGGUACCGGAGGAAGAAGCCCCGGCUAACUUCGUGCCAGCAGCCGCAGUAA